rnacentral:rRNA from 1 species
UACAGAGGGGGCAAGCGUUAUUCGGAAUUAUUGGGCGUAAAGGGCGCGUAGGCGGCUUGGCAAGUGGAUGGUGAAAUCCCUCGGCUUAACCGAGGAACUGCCGUCCAAACUGCUUUGCUUGAGACCGGGAGAGGUGAGUGGAAUUCCCAGUGUAGCGGUGAAAUGCGUAGAUAUUGGGAGGAACACCAGUGGCGAAGGCGGCUCACUGGACCGGUACUGACGCUGAUGCGCGAAAAGCUAGGGGAGCGAACAGG